UACAAGCUACUCUGUACGUAAUAAUAAAAAGUUUUAACCUUUAUGCUGUAAUAGGGAGUUUUAAUUAUAGUUGGAAUGUAAUGCCUCCUCGAUUGAGGACUACAUGAACACUUUUGCGAACACCCACUUUGAGGAGUGUGGUUUAAAACUUUCUUAUUUUAAGUUACGGCAAUGGUGGCUUAUGA
rnacentral:other from 2 species